AUUGAACGCUGGCGGCAGGCCUAACACAUGCAAGUCGAACGAGUGGCGGACGGGUGAGUAAUAUCUGGGAAACUGCCUAAUAGAGGGGGAUAACUACUGGAAACGGUAGCUAAUACCGCAUACCAUCAGAUGUGCCCAGAUGGGAUUAGCUAGUUGGUGGGGUAACGGCUCACCAAGGCGACGAUCCCUAGCUGGUCUGAGAGGAUGACCAGCCACACUGGAACUGAGACACGGUCCAGACUCCUACGGGAGGCAGCAGUGGGGAAUAUUGCACAAUGGGCGCAAGCCUGAUGCAGCCAUGCCGCGUGUAUGAAGAAGGCCUUCGGGUUGUAAAGUACUUUUAGCGGGGAGGCGUUACCUGCAGAAUAAGCACCGGCUAACUACGUGCCAGCCGCCGCGGUAAUAC
rnacentral:rRNA from 1 species